AACGUAGGACGCGAGCGUUAUCCGGAGUUACUGGGCGUAAAGGGCAGGCAGGCGGACAGACAAGCGUUGUGUGAAAUCUCUCUGGCUUAACCGGGAGGGCGCAUGGCGGACUGUCUGACUAGAGGGCAGCAGAGGAGCGUGGAAUUCCGGGUGGAGUAGUGAAAUGCGUAGAGAUCCGGAGGAACGCCAGAGGCGAAAGCGGGGCUCUGGGCUGCACCUGACGCUGAACUGCGAAAGCCAGGGGAGCGAACGGG
rnacentral:rRNA from 1 species